GUGGCUUGCUUGUAGCUUUGUUGUCAUAAUCAGCGUGUCAUACCUACAUAUCGCACAGUGAACGGGAUAAUUGAACGUAUCCUUGUUGAAGUCCGUUGUGGGUACACACUACACAAUAUAAAAUCUUCAAAACCUACCAGCUUUAUCUGGCUAGUAUCUUUCGUAUCAGAAUUGUAUGAACUUUUCACCGCACAUGAAGAAGACAUUGCAAUAAAAGUAUGGAGGCUAUUUCGGACGACACGAUGUUAAAUGAACAAGUUCGUGUAUACGUCGAUGACAUCGUUGAUGCUGCCGUUAAAAUUGUAAAAGAAUGCAACGAUAGCGAGGAUAACAGAUCGCAAUUUGAACAAGAAAAAAACAUUCAAACGUGAGGGUUUUAAGAUUACCGCAUGUGCUUGUCUUUAGUUAUUUCUAACAAGGAACGACUUAACCGAAGAGACUCUGUGAAUUAUUAUUGUCAGUUACACGAAUUCAUUAUAGUUGAAUCAAUUAUUGUUUUACCGAUUCGAAAACAGCAACACACUCAUGUAUUUUAAGCAAAUGAGGUCAGCUAUUUACGGAACGUUCAUUUUGAUUUAUUUUGUAUUAUAUUUAUACCAUUUUGUGUUGUUAUUUUGCCUCAAAUUUGAUGUACAUGUAUCAUGAUUGUGACGUGAGUGAUAAUUUGUAUUUAAGAUGGAUGUAGUAUUCUAGAGGACAUGCCAAUUGAAACGUGACAUCUUAUCCGGCAUUUGCACGGGACGAUUGCUAUGCUGACAAGCGAAAAAUUUUCAAGAACACACGGAUGGAAAAUGAUUGAAUACGACGUCGAACAGACACUUUGCAUAUGGCAAAUGAGUUGAUAAUACAGUUUUUUUUACUUGUACGUUUGUUUAGCGUUUACAUAAAACAAAGCGGUUUCUCUUAUUGGCAUUAAAUGAAAGUUAAAUGCAUGGCUUAAACAAAUUUCUGCGUUUAAUGCAAAAAGUGUUAACGUGAUUUAAACAGAAAUAAAAUGUGUUUGAUUUGUUGA